rnacentral:rRNA from 1 species
UCUUGGUCAUUUAGAGGAAGUAAAAGUCGUAACAAGGUUUCCGUAGGUGAACCUGCGGAAGGAUCAUUAAAGAGUUAGGGUCUUCUCGGCCCGACCUCCCAACCCUUUGUCUAUUGAACCUCUGUUGCUUCGGCGGACCCGUCCCCUCGGGGACCGCCGGAGGACCGUCGUAAGGCGUCCUCUGGCCCGCGUUCGCCGGCGGCCAACCAUUUAAACUCUUGAUUGAAUCAUGUCAUAUUGUCUAAGUUUUAUAAGUAAUAAAAGCAAAACUUUCAACAACGGAUCUCUUGGUUCUGGCAUCGAUGAAGAACGCAGCGAAAUGCGAUAAGUAAUGUGAAUUGCAGAAUUCAGUGAAUCAUCGAAUCUUUGAACGCACAUUGCGCCCGCCAGUAUUCUGGCGGGCAUGCCUGUUCGAGCGUCAUUUCAACCCUCAAGCCCCAGUGGCCUGGUGUUGGGGACCGGCGACCUCGCCCGGGGGAACACCCCCGGCGCGUCCGCCGCCCCUGAAAUGAAUUGGCGGCCCCGUCGCGGCCUCCUCUGCGUAGUAGCACAACCUCGCAGCGGGAGCGCGACGCGGCCACUGCCGUAAAACGCCCAACUUUUUUUAGAGUUGACCUCGGAUCAGGUAGGAAUACCCGCUGAACUUAAGCAUAUCAAUAAGCGGAGGA